CCGGGGAGCCGGGCAGCCGCGGUGUCAUUGUCCUUUUGGGCAAGAUACCGAGGAAAGUCCGGGCUCCACGAAACAAGGGUGGCGGGUAACGCCCGCCGCGGGUAACCGCAGGGAAAGUGCCACAGAGAGUAUACCGCCGAUGGCCCCUAAAGGGCACAGGCAAGGGUGAAAGGGUGCGGCAAGAGCGCACCGGGGACCUGGUGACAGGGCCCGCAUGGCAAACCCCACCCGGAGCAAGACCGCAUAGGGGUCUCGCGCCUGGCGACAGGCAGGAGCGUUUCGCUCCGAGAGAUCCGGGUUGGUCGCUGGAGCGUCGGGAGCAAUCCCGCGCGUAAGAUGAAUGGCUGCCCCCGCAGCGCUGGUCGGCAACGAAACCGGCUGCGGGACAGAACCCGGCUUACAGGCUCCCCGGCACC
rnacentral:RNase_P_RNA from 1 species